GGGGGUGGUACCUGUAAAGGCACUCCGACAAUCAAGUUAGACGUCGGUAUUGGGAAACCCUCAAUCCUCAGCAAGUGGAUGCUUAGAACGGAGAGAGGGUGGAAACUCAAUGUGAAAGUAUGAGUGUGAGAGAAUUUCAGCGUUAGUAUCAGCGUACCUUGUUUGGAGUCCUUAGCCCUUUAUUUAUAGGCUCUGGUUUGAUAUAAGAUUAGUAGAAUAUAAACAGAAUAAAAUAUAAACAAACUUACUUGACAUAUCUCUGUUUUGGAUAUGAUUUGAUAAUAU
rnacentral:lncRNA from 1 species